rnacentral:rRNA from 1 species
CCUACGGGAGGCAGCAGUGGGGAAUAUUGCACAAUGGGGGAAACCCUGAUGCAGCGACGCCGCGUGAGUGAAGAAGUAUUUCGGUAUGUAAAGCUCUAUCAGCAGGGAAGCAAAUGACGGUACCUGAAUAAGAAGCCCCGGCUAACUACGUAACAGCAGCCGCGGUGAUACGUAGGGGGCAAGCGUUAUCCGGCUUUACUGGGUGUAAAGGGAGCGUAGACGGCGCGGCAAGUCUGAAGUGAAAUGCAGGGGCUUAACCCCUGAACUGCUGUGGAAACUGUCACGCUAGAGUGCGGGAGAGGUAAGUGGAAUUCGUAGUGUAGCGGUGAAAUGCGUAGAUAUUAGGAGGAACACCAGUGGCGAAGGCGGCUUACUGGACAGUAACUGACGUUGAGGCUCGAAAGCGUGGGGAGCAAACAGGAUUAGAUACCCCAGUAGUC